rnacentral:lncRNA from 1 species
ACUACACCAAAAUUCCCAUUAUCUGGUGACAGAGACCCUAAGUUGACUUAUGAUCAAUUUAAAGGUUUAUUUAAAUAUAAUUCUUGUCUUCUUAGUGAACACGAAUUUAAUAAUAGUCAUACAUUAAUGGAUGAUAUGCAUAUGAAUCCUAAAAACCGUUCAGAAUAUUUUAGAUCUAUUUGUGAACCUAGUCCUAGGCAGAAGAAAAAUGAUUCAUCUGCUUUUAUAAAGAAGCUGAAUUCUAAAAUCUUAAGCAGUAACAAUACUAGCAGUAGUACUAAUGAUAGUUAUGGUAGUAGUUAUAAUACGAACUACUCUAACAUGAAAGAAUCUUUUGCAUCUCCUCGACCAAGAAGAAAAAAAAGUGAUAGUGGCUCUAAUGUGUCUACAAAAAAAUUGCUUGCCAGUUUAAAAAAUAAUUCGGAAAAAAGUAGAAAUGAUGAAAAAUUUUUUGCGAAUAACAAUAGUAACAGUCCUAAUAAAAAAUUACGAAAAGCUAAAACUAUGAUAAAUGACAACUAUUAUAAUGGUCAUUCAGCAUAUGACAACAAUGACAUAUAUAGUAAUACUAGUGACCACAGCAUAGAAGCUAAAGAGAAACAAAAUAGACGUGGCAAAACAAACGAAAAAGAAUACACUGUUAAACAAAUUGACUAUGAAAUAAAUCCAAUGUAUGUUGAAAAUAAUGAAAGUGAGAAUACAGAAGAGCAAAACAAAAUGCAACUAUCUAUGCAGGAACUUUCAAAACAGAAACAAAAUCCAUUAGUCACGAAUUAUACAGAAUAUUCUAAAGAAUUGGAUAUAUUGUUUAAUAAAGAUGUUAUUGAUACACCAAUCAUGUUGUUAUGCAUUUAUCAAUACUUAUUAGUUAUAAUGUCUAGAAGGAACCAAAAAAAUCAACCUGUAUUUUAUGAAUUAAUUAAACAAGAAGUUAUAAAUUUAAAUCCUCAUCGUAUUUUUAAUGAUCAACUACUUAAACAGCUAGCUUGGAUAUGUCCAAAUUUAAUACAGUUAAAUAAAGUGACGAUAACAAAAGAGAUUUAUGAGUCUAACCAAACAAUAUAUACCAAUUUUGUUACUGGAAAAAAAGUAGAAGAUAUACAAAUAAGAGAACAUAACGAACAAUUAAAAAAUGUAUAUAAAUAUACUUCAACAGAGAAAUUGGAAAUGCUUAAAAGAAUAAUUAUUAAUUGGGCAAAUGUUAAACACAAUGAAUUUUUAAAAACAAUUGAUAAAAAUUUUUACUCUGCUAAGUAUAAUGAAUUAAAAAAAUGGCAUUCCAAAUUUGAUUUUAAAGAUAUAAUUUUCCCAGUUGUUACUUUAGAAGAAAAUAAAAUGUUAGAACAAUUAACUAAAACACCACAAGAAAGUAAUGCUGAUGAUUUUGAUGUCUUUCAAGACAGUCCAAUAAAAUGUGUUACUCUUGAUUUAAAAAAAGACUGGACAUUUUUAAAAGAAAUGGAUAAAGAAAAAACUAGAACACCAUUAGGUAGAGGUAGAAGAAAAUCUGACUCAAUAACAGAUCAUAAUUUUAUUUGUACACCUAAUAAAACAACAACAGUAACAGUAAGUUCACCCAAAAAACCAGAGAGCAAAGGUAUGAAAGCAAUAAAAGAAGUGGCAAAUAAAAAAAAUAUAUUAAGAAAUAUAAAAAUAGAGUUGGAUAAACAAAAUGAAACGUUAUUAAAUGAAGCGAGAAAAUAUGAAAAUGCUAAAAAUAUAGCAGAAACUAUAUACUAUGAUUUUAUAGUCAAUCAAGACAUUGCAGUUAUUGAUAUACAUACACUUUCAAACAAAAUAUUUAAUUUAUUUAAAAAUACUAAUUCUUUUAUAGCGAGUGAAAGUGUAGUACUUGAAAUAUUACAAAUGUUACCUUCUUAUAUUAGAAACAUUAAUAUAAAACCCGGUAUGACAGAUAAAAACAAACUUAUUGUAACGGUAAAACCCGCUAAAACGAUCAAUCAAUUUAUGCAACCAUUAUUUGAUAAAAUUAAUGAAAUUAACAAAAAAUAUGAACAAUUUAAAAAAAAUCGUGAAACUAGAUUAAUACAAUUAUGGGAAAAAUAUGAUGUUAAUUUCGAGUUGACAGAAAAAAUAAAAAAAAUUUUGUUAUCACCUGGCAACGCCGAUUUAGAUAAAUUGUUACUCUUAUAUCCUAUUAGGGUAGUUUC